rnacentral:rRNA from 1 species
UACGUAGGGACCAAGCGUUGUCCGGAAUCAUUGGGCGUAAAGAGCGUGUAGGCGGCUGGGUAGGUCCGUUGUGAAAACUCGAGGCUCAACCUCGAGACGCCGAUGGAAACCCUCCAGCUAGAGUCCGGAAGAGGAGAGUGGAAUUCCUGGUGUAGCGGUGAAAUGCGCAGAUAUCAGGAAGAACACCCGUGGCUAAGGCGGCUCUCUAGUACGGUACUGACGCUGAGACGCGAAAGCGUGGGGAGCGAACAGG